rnacentral:lncRNA from 1 species
AGACCGAGGCCCCGUUGCGCGCGGCCGCCUUCGGAGCGCCGCCCUCCUCCCGAAACCGGCCGGGGCGAGUGGCUGCAAGAAGCUGCGGUUUGGCCCGCGGGAGAGGGGGGCUUCCCCGCUGGGGUUGUCUGACGCGAACGCCUUCCUGGCCCCAGCCAGGCGCCCUGAGAGAGCUAAUGCUGGCAGCUGUUGGGAUGUCCUCUUCCAGGAAUGGUGAUGAGUUUCCCUGGAUCCAGCCCUGGCUUGGCUGAGAUGAUGAAGGUUUAAGAAGCAGCAUCAUCAGCGAACUGUGUUUUGAAGAUUUGAGGGAAGGGCUGACCUCAGGAUUUUAUACUAGUUGCUGACCUCCAUAACAGCAGACAAAAUUGGAAGCAAGAGUGAUUUUGGAGGAGUCACACUUAGAUGUUUCCCUUACCUAUUUCUGUUCUGGAAAUUUAAAAAUCUUACUUCUCGUGACAGUCCUACAUGAAAAAUUAAAAAUCACAAGGAUUCAUGGAUGGAAAACUGAGACUCAGAGAAUGAUCACAUUCACAUCGUAAUAAAUCAGCAAUAGAGUGAGUGAUUGUUCCUUGGUAAGAAAUCAACUCUAAACUCAGUUGGAAACCUUUGCCAAUAUUACUUAACACAUGACAAUCUGGUGUGACUCAUUUU